rnacentral:rRNA from 1 species
CCCUUGUCUCUAGUUGCUACGAAAGGGCACUCUAGAGAGACUGCCGGUGACAAACCGGAGGAAGGUGGGGAUGACGUCAAGUCCUCAUGGCCCUUAUGGGUAGGGCUUCACACGUCAUACAAUGGUGCGUACAGAGGGUUGCCAACCCGCGAGGGGGAGCUAAUCCCAGAAAACGCAUCGUAGUCCGGAUCGUAGUCUGCAACUCGACUACGUGAAGCUGGAAUCGCUAGUAAUCGCGGAUCAGCAUGCCGCGGUGAAUACGUUCCCGGGUCUU